AACGAACGCUGGCGGCAGGCUUAACACAUGCAAGUCGAGCGCGUGGCAACACGAGCGGCAGACGGGUGAGUAACGCGUGGGAACGUACCCUUUACUACGGAAUAACGCAGGGAAACUUGUGCUAAUACCGUAUGUGCCCUUCGGGGGAAAGAUUUAUCGGUAAAGGAUCGGCCCGCGUUGGAUUAGCUAGUUGGUGGGGUAAAGGCCUACCAAGGCGACGAUCCAUAGCUGGUCUGAGAGGAUGAUCAGCCACAUUGGGACUGAGACACGGCCCAAACUCCUACGGGAGGCAGCAGUGGGGAAUAUUGGACAAUGGGCGCAAGCCUGAUCCAGCCAUGCCGCGUGAGUGAUGAAGGCCUUAGGGUUGUAAAGCUCUUUCACCGGGGAAGAUAAUGACGGUACCCGGAGAAGAAGCCCCGGCUAACUUCGUGCCAGCAGCCGCGGUAAAAC
rnacentral:rRNA from 1 species